UGUGAGCUCGAUGAGUAGGGCGGGACACGUGGUAUCCUGUCUGAAUAUGGGGGGACCAUCCUCCAAGGCUAAAUACUCCUGACUGACCGAUAGUGAACCAGUACCGUGAGGGAAAGGCGAAAAGAACCCCGGCGAGGGGAGUGAAAAAGAACCUGAAACCGUGUACGUACAAGCAGUGGGAGCCUCUUUUAUGGGGUGACUGCGUACCUUUUGUAUAAUGGGUCAGCGACUUAUAUUCUGUAGCAAGGUUAACCGAAUAGGGGAGCCGAAGGGAAACCGAGUCUUAACUGGGCGUUAAGUUGCAGGGUAUAGACCCGAAACCCGGUGAUCUAGCCAUGGGCAGGUUGAAGGUUGGGUAACACUAACUGGAGGACCGAACCGACUAAUGUUGAAAAAUUAGCGGAUGACUUGUGGCUGGGGGUGAAAGGCCAAUCAAACCGGGAGAUAGCUGGUUCUCCCCGAAAGCUAUUUAGGUAGCGCCUCGUGAAUUCAUCUCCGGGGGUAGAGCACUGUUUCGGCAAGGGGGUCAUCCCGACUUACCAACCCGAUGCAAACUGCGAAUACCGGAGAAUGUUAUCACGGGAGACACACGGCGGGUGCUAACGUCCGUCGUGAAGAGGGAAACAACCCAGACCGCCAGCUAAGGUCCCAAAGUCAUGGUUAAGUGGGAAACGAUGUGGGAAGGCCCAGACAGCCAGGAUGUUGGCUUAGAAGCAGCCAUCAUUUAAAGAAAGCGUAAUAGCUCACUGGUCGAGUCGGCCUGCGCGGAAGAUGUAACGGGGCUAAACCAUGCACCGAAGCUGCGGCAGCGACACUGUGUGUUGUUGGGUAGGGGAGCGUUCUGUAAGCCUGUGAAGGUGUACUGUGAGGUAUGCUGGAGGUAUCAGAAGUGCGAAUGCUGACAUAAGUAACGAUAAAGCGGGUGAAAAGCCCGCUCGCCGGAAGACCAAGGGUUCCUGUCCAACGUUAAUCGGGGCAGGGUGAGUCGACCCCUAAGGCGAGGCCGAAAGGCGUAGUCGAUGGGAAACAGGUUAAUAUUCCUGUACUUGGUGUUACUGCGAAGGGGGGACGGAGAAGGCUAUGUUGGCCGGGCGACGGUUGUCCCGGUUUAAGCGUGUAGGCUGGUUUUCCAGGCAAAUCCGGAAAAUCAAGGCUGAGGCGUGAUGACGAGGCACUACGGUGCUGAAGCAACAAAUGCCCUGCUUCCAGGAAAAGCCUCUAAGCAUCAGGUAACAUCAAAUCGUACCCCAAACCGACACAGGUGGUCAGGUAGAGAAUACCAAGGCGCUUGAGAGAACUCGGGUGAAGGAACUAGGCAAAAUGGUGCCGUAACUUCGGGAGAAGGCACGCUGAUAUGUAGGUGAAGCGACUUGCUCGUGGAGCUGAAAUCAGUCGAAGAUACCAGCUGGCUGCAACUGUUUAUUAAAAACACAGCACUGUGCAAACACGAAAGUGGACGUAUACGGUGUGACGCCUGCCCGGUGCCGGAAGGUUAAUUGAUGGGGUCAGCGCAAGCGAAGCUCUUGAUCGAAGCCCCGGUAAACGGCGGCCGUAACUAUAACGGUCCUAAGGUAGCGAAAUUCCUUGUCGGGUAAGUUCCGACCUGCACGAAUGGCGUAAUGAUGGCCAGGCUGUCUCCACCCGAGACUCAGUGAAAUUGAACUCGCUGUGAAGAUGCAGUGUACCCGCGGCAAGACGGAAAGACCCCGUGAACCUUUACUAUAGCUUGACACUGAACAUUGAGCCUUGAUGUGUAGGAUAGGUGGGAGGCUUUGAAGUGUGGACGCCAGUCUGCAUGGAGCCGACCUUGAAAUACCACCCUUUAAUGUUUGAUGUUCUAACGUUGACCCGUGAUCCGGGUUGCGGACAGUGUCUGGUGGGUAGUUUGACUGGGGCGGUCUCCUCCUAAAGAGUAACGGAGGAGCACGAAGGUUGGCUAAUCCUGGUCGGACAUCAGGAGGUUAGUGCAAUGGCAUAAGCCAGCUUGACUGCGAGCGUGACGGCGCGAGCAGGUGCGAAAGCAGGUCAUAGUGAUCCGGUGGUUCUGAAUGGAAGGGCCAUCGCUCAACGGAUAAAAGGUACUCCGGGGAUAACAGGCUGAUACCGCCCAAGAGUUCAUAUCGACGGCGGUGUUUGGCACCUCGAUGUCGGCUCAUCACAUCCUGGGGCUGAAGUAGGUCCCAAGGGUAUGGCUGUUCGCCAUUUAAAGUGGUACGCGAGCUGGGUUUAGAACGUCGUGAGACAGUUCGGUCCCUAUCUGCCGUGGGCGCUGGAGAACUGAGGGGGGCUGCUCCUAGUACGAGAGGACCGGAGUGGACGCAUCACUGGUGUUCGGGUUGUCAUGCCAAUGGCACUGCCCGGUAGCUAAAUGCGGAAGAGAUAAGUGCUGAAAGCAUCUAAGCACGAAACUUGCCCCGAGAUGAGUUCUCCCUGA
rnacentral:rRNA from 1 species